rnacentral:rRNA from 1 species
UACGUAGGGAGCAAGCGUUGUCCGGAAUUACUGGGCGUAAAGCGUGCGCAGGCGGUUAUUUAAGUCAGGUGUGAAAGCCCUGGGCUUAACCUAGGAAUUGCGCUUGAGACUGGAUAGCUUGGAGUGCGGCAGAGGGAGGUGGAAUUCCACGUGUAGCAGUGAAAUGCGUAGAGAUGUGGAGGAACACCGAUGGCGAAGGCAGCCUCCUGGGCCAGCACUGACGCUCAUGCACGAAAGCGUGGGGAGCAAACAGG